AGAUGUUAUGCAUACUUUUUUGUCAAUGAUAUUAAAUACAAAAGAGAAAAUUUGAGGGCCAAUCUAACACAACGGUUGGUUCAUACUAAAAUUCAUAGGGUUAGAUCGGAUUAUAGUAGUGGGUUUUCUUACAAAAGCUUCACAACCACUAAUCAAAACCGAAAAGUUGAACAAACAAAGCUUGAAUAAAAUGUAUUGGGGUUGCAUACUUUGCUUAUCUAGAGUAUCAGCUAUUGCUCUAUUGUUGUCAAGAUGAUCUUGGAAGGAUUUCGAAGAAAUUACUGUAAAACCACUCUUGAAUAAUCUUGUAGAAUUAAAUCAGGGCAAAUGCUUUCCUUAUAGAAUUAAAUAAUGGCAAAUACUUUCAGUUGAUCUCUUCAAAUAACUCCCUGGAAAGACUUGUUCAUAAUAUUAUUAUUUUUUGAUAAACAAGGUGGAGAAAUUCAUCAAAGUUUAAUAAACACAUAUCUCUGAUCUUCGUGAGCUUAGCUCUGUUAGAAUCGACAAUGCAUAAUAUAUGCAAUGUCUGGAUUCAGGUUUCGAACCCCGGAC
rnacentral:lncRNA from 1 species